GGGUCUUGAAGCUCUGCGCACCCUUUCCAAGCGACAGAUAACUGGGUGAGCCCCACUGAUCGACUACAUACUAGCAGGACCUGUAAAAAAAACACCAAAAAAUCUAGAGGAAAGAAGCAGAGACAACAGUAAAUGACACCAUCACAGAUUAUGCAGGUCCAGCCUGCUCUCACACUACAUGCAUGAAUGAUACUGAUACUGGAACAGAUAGCUGAUAUUACUUAACCUUAAUAGUAAAUAUUCAUUAACAGGUUUGCUAAAUGUGUACUCUAGUGGAGCAGGUCAAGUGUAAAUCUACUGUCAUAAGAAUAAGCUUUACAAUAUAUGAGCUAUUUUUGAAAUGUGAACCCUUCCCCUACAUGGUCUUCAUGAAGAGAUUUUAAGCUAACUAAUUUCUAAUUUCCAUCACUUUCUGAGUUUGUAUUCUGUCUACAUUGUAUAAAGUUACUGAUUCCUGAGCCAUUGAAUGAAAAUAUUUUUCUAUAUUUUCGCUUUCUAUUUUGGAAUAUAAAUAAAAGAUUUUACAUUUUAAA